CACAGGAUCUGUGUAAGACCAGAGUGAGGCCAGGAGUCCCAGCCUGAGGUCCUUAAUCCCAGUUUGAGGCAGUUAGUGGGCCACUCCAGAUCCUACCAGAAGAUAAACAUAUUGGACAAGACUUUGAAAAAUAAGCUGUCCAAUAAAGAAGAUUUUCCAUCUACCUCCUUUAAAUCUGAACUUGGGACACUUACCGUGAAGCCAAGAACCAGAGUUCUCCUUAUUCUGACCCCAACCCAGCAACAAGAGACAAGCCUAAAUUCUGCACAGAUACAUGGAAUGGAGGGGAGAUAGUGUGAUACUUUCUGUCUGAUGAAAUCCCUAGGGUUGAAACUAGACAGAAGAGGAUAAAAGGAGCCCAAACACUAGGUCCCACUGCUGGAAAUCCCAAUCUUGCAAUAAACAAC
rnacentral:lncRNA from 1 species